CCAAAAUGCUGGUGCCAUAUUGAGAAAUCUUCAACUCUCUCGUCAAAGUAAUGACCUUUCUGGUGAUAAAGAUGCUAUACAUGCUUUCAGAACUCUGUACAUGAUUGGUGACAAUCCAUUUGUCGACAUAAAAGGUGCACGGCAGGCAGGGCAUCCUUGGUUUUCAAUUUUGACGAGGACUGGUGUUUUCAAAGAAAGAGGAAAUCAUGCAGAAUUUCCUGCUGAUCUAGUGGUCGACACUGUUGAAGAGGCAGUGGAUU